rnacentral:tmRNA from 1 species
GGGGCCGACCGGUUUCGACGGCAAGGUUCUUUGACAAGUAAGCAUGCCGAGGUUGGGUUUCCUCGUUAAUCAAGCCCGACACAACAAUAAAUGGCGAAGCUAACUUUGCGCUCGCUGCCUAAUUCCGAAGCACAGUAGGAAUUAAGGCCAACGUUCCGGCAAGGCCGGAAGGCGGGCAGUCCCUCGGAUGCCUUGGUUUACGGCGUCCGGUAAAGGGGCUCCGGAAAGUAAACCUGGGAACGGUGAGGCCGCUAAGCCGUUCCGAGAAAGCAGCGGCUAAGCCGUAAGUGGUCUGUCCGUGGACAGCUUACGGCCGACCAUCAAACACGGACUAAGCAUGUAGAAAGCUUGCCAAAAUCUUGACCGGACGAGGGUUCGAGUCCCUCCGGCUCCACUA